rnacentral:lncRNA from 1 species
UGAAGACUUUCCUGGGGUUAAAAGGACUCUUUCUGGUUCACUCCUUGAUAUCGACCUGUGCUGGGGAUUGAGCAGCUGUUCAAGUCCAACCCACCCAGUUUUGGUUCUAUGCCAGGCUUAAAUCCACGAUAUUUCACAAUUCGUGUAUGCCACCUGAUGAAGUGUUUUUAGGUGAUGACUGCCUUGUAACCUAACAUUUUGCCAAAUGUUUAUUGUAAAUUUUUCUACCAUCAUCAUUACUGUGGUAUUGUAACUAAAACUCUCCAGGAAGUUA